CGGAGCGACCUAAGCGAAGGGGAAGAGGACGAUAGGAAGCUCAAGGAGAGAGCUGGCGCAUUGGACGAUGGUUUUAGGGCCUUAGAAGAGGUGGUGGCGGUGGUGGUGGAGAAAGAGGUGGGCGCAGCCGCCGCCAUUGCACUUGGGCUUUUCGAGUUCGUAAAGGAGAUCUGAAAAUGUGUAAGAGAGAGAGCU